rnacentral:rRNA from 1 species
GAUGAACGCUGGCGGCGUGCUUAACACAUGCCAGUCGAACGGAAAGGCCCAAGCUUGCUUGGGUACUCGAGUGGCGAACGGGUGAGUAACACGUGGGUGAUCUGCCCUGCACUUCGGGAUAAGCCUGGGAAACUGGGUCUAAUACCGGAUAGGACGAUGGGUUGGAUGCCAUGGUGGAAAGAUUUUUCGCGGUGGGGUGAGCUCGCGGCCUAUCAGCUUGUUGGGGGGGUGAUGGCCUACCAAGGCGUCGACGGGUGGCCGGCCUGAGAGGGUGUACGGCGACAUUUGGACAGUGAGACGGCCCAGACUCCUACGGGAGGCAGCAGUGGGGAAUAUUGCACAAUGUGCGCAAGCCUGAUGCAGCGACGCCGCGUGGGCGAUGACGGCCUUCGGGGUGUAAACUCCUUUCGCUAGGGACGAGGCGUUUUUGUGACGGUACCUGGAGAAGAAGCACCGGCUAACUACGUG